UUUGAAUUUUUUUUUUUUUUUCGAAGAAAAUUUCACACUUUGAAAUUAAUGUUACUCUACAACAUCGCAGAAAAAAAUUAAGAAUUAAUAAAUAACUUCGCAAUUGUCUCAUGUCUGUAUUCUGUAGUCUGUACUACUCGGUAGUCGGUACUCGAUAUUAUUUUCAUCAUGUAAAAUACUGCAAGUAGAGUAGUCUAUGUUACAGAUAAAAGGAAAAGUUCAAGUGCGACGAGCCGACGAAAUUAAUACAGAGUCAUUCAUGAUCGGCAAUCGGCAAAAGAUCACUUUAGGCAAAAGACAUUUUCAGUUCACAUAACAUGCUAUUCACGUAUUCACGAACCAUGUCUUCAAAGUUCAAAAUUUGAUGAGCGCAUUCAAUUUCAACAUCAACAUUCAACAUCAACUCAUCAAUUCUCAAAAGUGAAGUGAAUCAAAUUUUUAGAAAAUUGCUAUCGCUUUAAAAUAAUAUUUGAGUAGGGAUUUUAUCAUUUGAGAAUUUUGAGAUGAGUGUGAGUUUGUGAUGUUCGUGAGUAAAAUUUGAAACUUGAAAGCAUUCACGCAAAGUAAAACAAUAUCGUAUCAAUUUCAAACGAAAGUCAAAACGACUCUUCAAGUAUAUUUAGUUUCUAGGAAUCGGUCUUCUAUGCACCAGCAGCCUACCAGCAGCAGCUAAUGAUUUCAAAAUAAUUUCAAAAAUAGUAUUGAUUUUUCUUGAAAUUUGAAUCGAUGGUAACCCUGCUUUCAUGCAAGCGGUGUGUUUGAGAUUUUUUCUAUGCAUUACCAUUGAAACAAGUACAACAGAACCGGUACUUGGUGUUGGUACCUAGAUAGUAGAUAGAUAGUGUUAAUUCUUUUGAAUUUGCUACAGUAUAACAAUAAGGUUAAGUACAAUAGUUGAACAAUUUUCAUUCCAUUUAAUAUCGAUUAAAGAAGAAAUAUUUGUAUGAUUGCGGGAAAAUGCCGAUUUUGCAAGUUUAUGAAGAAAUACUCACUGAAUAUAAUGAAAUGAUGCAACGUAUUCGGCGAAACGAAGAAAUUUCUGUUAACUUGGCGCAUGAAAUACAAAAAGAAUUGCUUCGAAUGAGUGAAAUUUCUGGCCAAGAUGAUAAUUUAAAGGACGUGUACAAAACUAUCCAAAGAAAAGAAGAAAUCAUGAAGAAGUUUUCCAACGAGAAUUUCGAUUCAGCGAACAUACCGGUGUCUGAAUAUUACUCGUUGAAAGAAACUAUCAAUUCUGCUUCGAAUUUACUGCAAAAAAUAUCAACCGAGUUGCAAGAACUUACUUCAAUUGAUAACGAAACUAAGGAACAAGAACAAUAGGUAUAUGUUUAAAAUUUGUACAGCGUAUUCAUUUCUUACUAAACUCUAUAGAAUUAAAGAGAACGAAUCAAUUGUACAUUCAAUUCGCAUUAAGUAUAAUAAAUUAUUCGAUUAUUUAUUCAGGCCUAAGUUGUAUUUUUUAUUAUUUUGCUUUGCAAAUUAUAUUAAUUCAGUAUAUUGUAUCAAAAUCAAUCAGUAAUCAAAGAAGAAAGGAAAACUAAAAGAACAACUUCCAAGCGAGUAGGUAGGUAACAAUAAUGAAAAUAAUGUGCGAUGAAUGUUUCAAAACAAACGUAGGUAUUGAAAUUAUCAAAGAAUAAGAAUUCAAUAACCUCUAAACCGUCAUGAAAUGCAUCAUUUUAAAUAUCCAUAAAUCAACAAUCAUUCUGUAGGCUGCGCAUUGCAAGUAAGUUAUGCAAUGGCACUAUGAUUUGAUUAUUUUAUAAUUUUAAAAAUUGAUUUAUCAAAGCGCCGUCGAAAAUCAAACAUUUAAACGUCACCAUAAACCACCAUUCGUUCAAAGUCCCAACAACUAACAAGUAAGUAGGACUAACAUUUCGCAGUAUGAUAAAAGACAGAAUAAAAAUUGUAAUCAAUGAACGGAAUAAAAAAUAUAAGGUCAUUCGCUACUAAAAGAAUCGUUAUUAUUGAAAUACGUAAAAAAAAGAUGAAAAAAUUCAACAAUAUGAACAUAAGGUUUUGAAAUAUUUUCACAAAAAUCGGUAGAACUAGGUAUUCGUUUUUAUCAAAAUAGUAGCGUUAAAUAUGCAAGAAGAUACAUUCGUAAUAAACGUAUAUAUUAUUUCUAUUAUUACACAAUAAAUUACUUAUUUACACGUAAUGCGUAAAAUAUUUGUUAAUUAAGUAAAUUUUACUGGAGAGACAUUUCACAACAAAUAAACGUUUGUUUUACACGAUAGAAAACUCGCAAAUGGAUACAAAAUUUUAAAAUGUACAUAAUUCAUGAUUUGGCUUUUUCACAUAUCUUUAUUAUAUACGCAAUAAAGUAUCAUAAACUUGGAAAAUCAUUACAUAUGUCUG